rnacentral:lncRNA from 1 species
CUAUCCCUGGCUACAAAAAACUUGGAAAAAUUAGAAUAUGAUGUGGUAUGGACACACUAGGGUGACUGCAUGGAAUCUGAAUCAGCCAGCGCUAAGGAAGAGCUGUACUGCUUUUCUGGAUUCAAGCUGACUCCUACAGUACUGCUUAAGUGUCACAGAAGUACAUCUCCUUAUGCUCUUGAUAGGUAAUGACUUACUAAUUUGGGUACAGUGGUGGAUCUGAGCUGUACCUGCUUACUGUAGAGCUGUGCACCUGGUACCGAGUCCUCUGAAAACAUGAAAUACAAGGAAAAAUAGUGAAGAGGCACUGGAGACUCUGCAGAGACCAGGCUGUAUCUGAUGAGGUUGACAAAGGGCCAAAACUAGCAAAUCUGGAUGCCCUCCUGUUGACUCUGCAUGUAGCACUCAAGUGCCGUUGCACCGCAGUUCCCUAGUUCCAAGCUCCAAGCAUGGCAUGCUGAGACCCUGGACAGGUAAUACACAUUUGGCCUGUAUACACGUGCCCAAAUAGCUCUGCACAAACAGUGCUAUACUGCUUCUGUGCUUAAGCUAGGCCUAGAAGCAAUACAACCACAUCUGUGGGGCACCGUGUUUGCACUAAUAACCCUGCUAGAGAAUAUGAAUUCUGCUGGUCUUAAUCUCUCUGAAUCUAUUUCUUCACUCCUCAUUAUCUUCUCUACUUAACCCCGAGCUGUCUCUUCAUUUUCAUAGACAGUUUCCAACGGUUACAGAUGCACAGGUGCCUCUCCUACUCAGACAGCUGAUAGACCCAUCCUUGCUUAUGAUCUGAUGUAACGGCAUAGAACUUUUUGUUUACAUAAAAUAAAGUUAGUGGAGGGGGUGAUGACAACUUGAACAAAGUUCCUCCCCGUUUGGCUCGUCAGCUGACGUUGCUCAACUCUGCCUUUGCCUCUCGUGGGAGACUAAAACUCUGCUGGGAUCCAGUCCUGGAGAACAGGAAGUGGAACAGUGGGGUCGUCAGAGCCAUGUUUGGUACAGAACUCUAUGCUAUUGCAGCUACACUUCUGGAAAAAAAGAACAAGAAGAAACAGAGUAAUGUUCAAAAGAGAAACUGA